UACAGAGGUCUCAAGCGUUGUUCGGAUUCAUUGGGCGUAAAGGGUGCGUAGGCGGUGAGGUAAGUCUGGUGUGAAAUCCCGGAGCUCAACUCCGGAACUGCACUGGAUACUGCCUUACUUGAGCACUGGAGAGGGAACUGGAAUUUACGGUGUAGCAGUGAAAUGCGUAGAUAUCGUAAGGAAGACCAGCGGCGAAGGCGAGUUCCUGGACAGUUGGCUGACGCUGAGGCACGAAGGCCAGGGGAGCAAACGGG
rnacentral:rRNA from 1 species